GUGGAUAUGGCUCAGUGGUAGAGUGCAUGCCUGGCAUGUAUGAGGCCCUGGGUUCCAUCCCUAGCACA
rnacentral:tRNA from 1 species